GUAAGAGCAUUUGGUGGAUGCCUUGGCAUGUGCAGGCGAUGAAGGACGUGGCACGCUGCGAUAAGCGUCGGGGAGAUGUGAGCAAUCUUUGAUCCGGCGAUUUCCGAAUGGGGAAACCCACCCUCACCAUUUCCUUUCGAUUGUUUUCGGACAGUCGGAAAGAGGUGGAUAGGGUAUCACCAGACUGAAUACAUAGGUUUGGUGAAGCGAACCCGGGGAACUGAAACAUCUCAGUACCCGGAGGAAAAGACAUCAACAGAGAUUCCCGUAGUAGUGGCGAGCGAACCGGGACCAGGCCAGUGCCUUCAUUUCAACUAGCAAAACACUUUGGAAAGAGUGGCCAUAGCGGGUGACAGCCCCGUAUGCGAAAGUGAUGAUGAAGGACUCGAGUAGGGCGGGACACGUGAAAUCCUGUCUGAACAUGGGGGGACCACCCUCCAAGCCUAAAUACUCGCACAUGACCGAUAGCGAACACAGUACCGUGAGGGAAAGGUGAAAAGCACCCCGAUUAGGGGAGUGAAACAGUACCUGAAACCGGAUGCUUACAAGCAGUUGGAGCCCCAUAGGGGGUGACAGCGUACCUCUUGCAUAAUGGGUCAGUGACUUAAUCUACCAUGCAAGCUUAAGCCGUUAGGUGUAGGCGCAGCGAAAGCGAGUCUGAAUAGGGCGACUGAGUAUGAUGGAUUAGACCCGAACCCCGGCGAUCUAGGCAUGGCCAGGUUGAAGGUGCAGUAACAUGCACUGGAGGACCGAACCGGUGAAUGUUGAAAAAUUCUCGGAUGAGCUGUGUUUAGGGGUGAAAGGCCAAUCAAGCCGGGAAAUAGCUGGUUCUCCGCGAAAUCUAUUGAGGUAGAGCGUCGGAUGUAUGCCGAUGGGGGUAGAGCACUGGAUGGGCUAGGGCUGCGCGAGCGGUACCAAACCUAACCAAACUCCGAAUACCAUCGAGUCUUAUCCGGCAGACAGACGGCGGGUGCUAAGGUCCGUCGUCAAAAGGGAAACAGCCCUAACCUACAGCUAAGGUCCCCAAGUCAUAUCUAAGUGGGAAAGCAUGUGGGAAUCCCAAAACAACCAGGAGGUUGGCUUAGAAGCAGCCAUCCUUUAAAGAAAGCGUAACAGCUCACUGGUCUAAANAAGGGUUCCUGCGGCGAAGAUGUAACGGGGCUAAAGAUAUGCACCGAAGCUUAGGGUUCAGAAUUUAUUCUGAGCGGUAGCGGAGCGUUCCGUAAGCGAGNGAAGGNGAAGGGUAACCGACNCUGGACGUAUCGGAAGUGCGAAUGCUGACAUGAGUAGCGACAAANAGGGUGAGAUGCCCUNUCGCCGAAAGACCAAGGGUUCCUGCGCAACGCUAAUCGGCGCAGGGUUAGCCGGCCCCUAAGACGAGCCCGAAGGGGGUAGUCGAUGGGAACCACGUAAAUAUUCGUGGGCCUGAAGAUGUGUGACGGAUCGUGGAAGUUGUUUUCUCUUAUUGGAUUGAGAGGGCAGCCAAGCGGUUCCAGGAAAUAGCCUCUUCACUAUAGACCGUACCCGAAACCGACACAGGUGGUCAGGUAGAGUAUACCAAGGCGCUUGAGAGAAGUAUCCUGAAGGAACUCGGCAAAUUGCCUCCGUACCUUCGGAAGAAGGAGGCCCCAUAUCGACGCAAGUCUUUGUGGGGGGCACAGGCCAGGGGGUAGCGACUGUUUAGCAAAAACACAGCACUCUGCUAAGUCGGCUUCAAGACGACGUAUAGGGUGUGACGCCUGCCCGGUGCUCGAAGGUUAAGAGGAGGAGUGCAAGCUCCGAAUUGAAGCCCGAGUAAACGGCGGCCGUAACUAUAACGGUCCUAAGGUAGCGAAAUUCCUUGUCGGGUAAGUUCCGACCUGCACGAAUGGCGUAACGACUUCCCCACUGUCUCCAGGAUAUGCUCAGCGAAAUUGAAUUCUCCGUGAAGAUGCGGAGUACCCGCGGUUAGACGGAAAGACCCCGUGCACCUUUACUGCAGCUUCAGAGUGGCAUUAGGAAANNACUGUGUAGNAUAGGUGGGAGGCUUUGAANCGAUCGNCGCCAGNUGNNGUGGAGCCANNNUGUGAAAUACCACCCUGUNNUUUUCUGAUGUCUAACCNCGCACCGUUAUCCGGUGNNGGGACCCUCUGUGGCGGGUAGUUUGACUGGGGCGGUCGCCUCCUAAAGAGUAACGGAGGCGCGCGAUGGUNNGCUCAGGACGGUUGGAAACCGUCUGNNAGAGUGCAAUGGCAUAAGCNNGCCUGACUGCGAGACNGACANGUCGAGCAGAGACGAAAGUCGGUCAUAGUGAUCCGGUGGUCCCUCGUGGAAGGGCCAUCGCUCAACGGAUAAAAGGUACGCCGGGGAUAACAGGCUGAUGAUUCCCAAGAGCUCAUAUCGACGGAAUCGUUUGGCACCUCGAUGUCGGCUCAUCACAUCCUGGGGCUGGAGCAGGUCCCAAGGGUUUGGCUGUUCGCCAAUUAAAGUGGUACGUGAGCUGGGUUCAGAACGUCGCGAGACAGUUUGGUCCCUAUCUGCCGUGGGCGUCGAUUGUUGAAAGGAGUUGCCCCUAGUACGAGAGGACCGGGGUGAACNUACCUCUGGUGUACCUGUCAUCCUGCCAAGGGUGCCGCAGGGUAGCUAUGUAUGGACGGGAUAACCGCUGAAAGCAUCUAAGCGGGAAGCCUCCCUUGAGAUAAGCAAUCUUCGAACCGUCAUAGACCAUGACGUUGAUAGGCCGGGUGUGGAAGCGCAGUAAUGCGUGUAGCUAACCGGUCCUAAUAGUUCUUUUCGCGCUU
rnacentral:rRNA from 1 species